ACUUUAUUGGGACUUGAAUUGACUAAAAUAUUUUAUUGGGAUUUAUUUUGCAAUUGACAAUAUAUGAGGGUUAUAUUGGAUACAAUUGGAAGUUGAAAAUUUACUUAUACAUUUUUGGGAAGUUUAGAAUUUAAAUGUUAGCUCAUAUUAGAGAAGAGGGACUUUUCUUGCAAAUUGGAGUUAGUGGGUUUUUAAUGCCUUUAACCAUCACUUUUUCUCUCAUAAAUCACACACACACACACACACUAGAAGAAAGAAAGAACCGGCAGAGAAGAAAAAAAGGGAAAGAAAAGAGGGAAGAAAAAGAAAAAGGAAAAAAGGAAGAAGAGAAAGAAAGGAAAGAGAUGUUUGAGAGGAAUACUACUUGGAGCUCAAGUUAUUGAUUCUUGAAUUUCUAUCUACACUAAGAUAAGGAGAUAUUAAUUUUUUUUGGGCAAACCCUAGUUUUUAAAUUUGAUGAUUGAGCAUGGAUUAUUUGUGAAAAUGAUUACAUUAAUGGAAUUAUUCACUUAGAAGAAUGAUUUUGGGGAAUGAUAGAUAUAUUAAUUUGGUUGUAUUAUGAUUUCUCGUUUUUCACUAAAAUGAAAGGGACAAAUAUUGUUAUGAUUGUAAUAAAGUUAAAUUUGGAUGUGGUAUAUGAUUGUGAAGGUAUUAGAAAGUGGAAAUUAGCUUCGAUUGAUUAAAGAAAAUUUAGGAAAAUUUCGCAAGUCUCGGGGAAUUUAGUUUAAUUAUUAUAUCAUUAGAGAUUAAAUGUUUCUUUAUUUUAAUAGUGAUUAAAUUAGUUAUUUGUAACGUAUUACAGGUGGUGACGAAGAAUUGGAAAAACUUACCGACCGGUCUAGUCUGUAGCUCGUAUUGAAUGAGUGGAUAAAACUUAUUUUUCAGAAAUAAGUCUUCUUUAAAUUUUAAAGUUAUUUAUUUUAUAAAAUUGACUUCAUAGCAUGAUUUUCAAAAUAAAAUGGAUUUUAUUAUCAAUUGCUUUUAAAGUUAAAUUUAGUUCAGUUAAAUUAUUUUAGUAGCAUGUUAUAUUCUUAUUACAUGUUUCAGCAUAUUUAAAGUUAUUUUCUAAAAACCACCAGAAAGUACCCAGGUGAUUUUACUCUCGUUUGCACUGGUGUGAAUAUGUUUCCAUAGUGUAUGAUUUCAUAUGGUUAUUUUACCCACUCCGCGCUGGUGUGAAUGUGUUUUCACAGCGUAUGAUCAGUAUAGUGAUUUUACCCGCUCUGCACUAUCGUGAAUGUGUUUCCAUAGUGUAUGACCAGAUUAUUAGAGGUCUUUGGGACCCACUCUCAUACACACAUAGGCUUUUGGCCGUGUACUAGGGUGAUUAGCCUUUGGGGCAGCUCUACGUACGUAUGACCAGAUUAUCAGCUAUCAAAUUAUCAGAUUUGAAUGACUUUGCCUUGUACAUCGAGAUUACUCUGUACAUGAGUAAGGCUAUUCAUUGGGUACUCUUUUUGGUGUGAUUUUUCAGUAUUUAUUCAGUUCUCAGAUUUUAGAUUAUGGAAUUCAGUUAAUACGGCUUUCAGAAUAAAGCUUUCAGCUUAUAGUAUUGACCAAUAGCAAUAUUUCAAAGAUUUUCAUGAAUAUCAGAUUAUUUGUUAACUUUACAUCUACUUAUCUAGAAUUAAGAGCAAAGAAUUGUAUGAUGCAAUCAUGUUUUGGUUUUAACAGUGUUACCAGAUUUCAGAAUUUUUUCAAAGAUUUAAUAAAGCUAGAAUUUUCAGAAAAUAUGUAGAAAUGGAAAAAGUAUAUUUAUUCACAAAUUAUCCACUCACUGAAUUAUAGGCUCACAUUUUUUUUACAAUUUCUCUUAUCAGAUAGUAGCUGAGUUGAGCACUACUAGGCCAGUUGAUCUAUCGAGUUGAACUAUAAAUUGUCAAGUAUUGUAUGACUCAUCUUAUCACUUUAAUAGUUCAUAUUUUGAAAUAGACA